GACGAACGCUGGCGGCGUGCCUAAUACAUGCAAGUUGAGCGCUGAAGGUUGGUACUUGUACCGACUGGAUGAGCAGCGAACGGGUGAGUAACGCGUGGGGAAUCUGCCUUUGAGCGGGGGACAACAUUUGGAAACGAAUGCUAAUACCGCAUAAAAACUUUAAACACAAGUUUUAAGUUUGAAAGAUGCAAUUGCAUCACUCAAAGAUGAUCCCGCGUUGUAUUAGCUAGUUGGUGAGGUAAAGGCUAACCAAGGCGAUGAUACAUAGCCGACCUGAGAGGGUGAUCGGCCACAAUGGGACUGAGACACGGCCCAAACUCCUACGGGAGGCAGCAGUAGGGAAUCUUCGGAAAUGGACGAAAGUCUGACCGAGCAACGCCGCGUGAGUGAAGAAGGUUUUCGGAUCGUAAAACUCUGUUGGUAGAGAAGAACGUUGGUGAGAGUGGAAAGCUCAUCAAGUGACGGUAACUACCCAGAAAGGGACGGCUAACUACGUG
rnacentral:rRNA from 1 species